rnacentral:pre_miRNA from 1 species
UAGAUACUCCCUCCGUCCGGAAAUACUUGUCAUCAAAAUGAAUAAAAGGGGAUGUAUCUAGAUGUAUUUUAGUUCUAGAUACAUCCCUUUUUAUCCAUUUUGAUGACAAGUAUUUUCGGACGGAGGGAGUACCUC